rnacentral:rRNA from 1 species
UACGUAGGGGGCAAGCGUUGUCCGGAUUUAUUGGGCGUAAAGAGCGUGUAGGCGGCCUUACAGGUCAGCUGUGAAAACUCGAGGCUCAACCUCGAGACGUCGGUUGAAACCGUAUGGCUAGAGUCCGGAAGAGGAGAGUGGAAUUCCCGGUGUAGCGGUGAAAUGCGCAGAUAUCGGGAGGAACACCAGUGGCGAAGGCGGCACUCUGGGCCGGAACUGACGCUGAGGAGCGAAAGCGUGGGGAGCAAACAGG